CUGUUACGGUGAUUCAUCUGUCUCUCUUUCUCUGUAGUGAACUGUCUUCUUCCUUGUUGAGUUCCCUCUGGGC